rnacentral:tRNA from 1 species
GCUUGGGUAGCUCAGUUGGUAGAGCACUUGCCCGUGAAAGGCAAAGGUCCCGAGUUCGAGUCUCGGUCCGGAACA